AUUGAACGCUGGCGGCGUGCUUAACACAUGCAAGUCGAGCGGUAAGGCCCUUUCGGGGGUACGACGAGCGGCGAACGGGUGAGUAACACGUGGGUGACCUGCCCUCCAGCUCUGGGAUAAGCCUGGGAAACUAGGGUCUAAUACUGGAUAUGACUCCACGGUGCAUGUCGUGGGGUGGAAAGCCUUGUGCGGCUGAGGAUGGGCCCGCGGCCUAUCAGCUUGUUGGUGGGGUGAUGGCCUACCAAGGCGACGACGGGUAGCCGGCCU
rnacentral:rRNA from 1 species